rnacentral:rRNA from 1 species
UACGAAGGGGGCUAGCGUUGCUCGGAAUGACUGGGCGUAAAGCGCACGUAGGCGGCCUGAUAAGUCGGGUGUGAAAGCCCUGGGCUCAACCCAGGAAGUGCACUCGAAACUGUCAGGCUUGAAUAUGGAAGAGGGUCGCGGAAUUCCCGGUGUAGAGGUGAAAUUCGUAGAUAUCGGGAGGAACACCAGUGGCGAAGGCGGCGAUCUGGGAACAUACUGACGCUGAGGUGCGAAAGCGUGGGGAGCAAACAGGG